GCCAGCAUGGUGUAAUGGUUUGAGUGUUGGACUACAACUCUGGAGAUCAGGGUUCAAUUCCCACUCUGCCA